GUGGGGGUGGGGAGCGGUCACCGUAGGCUUUUAAACUGGGAAGUGGCUUGAUUCAUUAUAUGUUUAAAGAUACCUCUGGAUGCUUGACUGAGAGGACUCCAGGGGGCUAACGUGGAGGCAGGGAGACAGUUGGGAGCCUCCGGCAUUUGCAGGGUCUCUUAGUCUCUUGCUGAAACCAUUAUCUCAGCCCACCUGUACAGGGUCUUGAAAUCCUGUUAAUCUCUUGCAAAGUUCUUCCUUGACAAAACUCUCCCUUGAGAGACUGUCCUUGUAGUGGAUGUCUGCUGUCUCUCCAUGACCAGCAUCCACUUCUCCUUGUGCUGUAACAGCUUCGUACCUGGCCUUGAUAAAGGAUCCUUCCUCCACUCCCACUUCCGUGCUCAGCUCGGGGGAGCUCACUUUGUCUCCAGCUCUAGAGCAUAUCUUUAUCAUAUGAGCAAGGAGCCGCCACUGAAGAGUUUUAGUAUGUCCCUAUGAGGACAGAGUCAAUGGCAGGAUGUGGUGAUAGAGGGCAUCCUUGUCUUGUUCCUGUUUUCAGAGGGAUGGGGUUCAGUUUUUGCCCAUUGAGUAUGAUGUUGGCUAUGGGUUUGUCAUAUAUGGCCUUUAUUAUGUUGAGGUAGUUUCCUUCUAUGCCCAUUUUGUUCAGAGUUUUUAUCAUAAAUGGCUGUUGGAUCUUGUCAAAUGCCUUCUCUGCAUCUAUUGAGAUGAUCAUGUGGUUUUUAUUCCUCAGUUUGUUGGUGUGGUUUAUCACGUUGAUUGAUUUGCGGAUGUUGAACCAUCCCUUAUUUAUUUUCCAAUUCUUUCUUAGAGCCAUCAGUCAAUCACAUACAUGGUCUGCCUCCCAAGUUAUCACAAGGGACAGUGUGACCAAAUGUUUGCUGCUGCCCACUAGGGAGAACCAUGCUAGUGGCCUCUGACAGCAGUUUCCAGGCGCCUCAUCUUCCAACUGCUAAGCUAAUGCUGCAUAUUUUCAGUUGUUGUUAUAAAAUCACCCCACUCCUGGUACUAAUUUCUGUGUUGCAAACAGAGCUAGGCUAUGUUGUAAUAACAAACGAAUCCUGAGGUGUCAAUUGUCUAAUGCAGACAAUGCCUACUUCUUGCUCAUGCCACGUGCCCAGUGUUGGCUGGCAGGAGAUGUGCUCUGCCCCCACCUCAGGGAGGCUCCACCAGAAAGUGCUUACGGUCCUCUCAGCACAUGGCUUCUGGGUGGAUGGUGGCUGAGUGACAGUGGGGAGAUCAUGCGGGCUACUCCCUGCCUCAGCCUGCCUCUGAGCCAGGACUAAUGUCCUGGCCCUGUCUACCUGCAGGAAAACGGGACAGAGUCCCCUUGGAUGCCCAAAGGGAGGACCAGAUAUGAUCAUGCCGAAGUCAUGGAGCCUCAAUGAAAACUCUGGACAACAAAGCUUGGAGGAACGUCCUGCCUUGGCAAUACCACAUGCGAAUGGCCACACUUGAUGUCCGGAGGAUGAGGCAUCUCUGAGGAAGACAGAAGCUCUGCAUUUGGAACUGCCUGCCUGAUUCUGCCCUAUACGCCUCUUCCUUUGGCUGGUUCUGAUGUGUAUCUUUUUGCUUUAAUAAAGCACAAUCAUAAGUAUAGCA
rnacentral:lncRNA from 1 species